GGCCAUUUGUCUUUCUCCUUUUUGUUUGAGUG
rnacentral:scRNA from 1 species